rnacentral:lncRNA from 1 species
AUGGUCGAUCAGAUACCUCCUUCUUCUUGAUUUGGACUCUUCCAAAGAUGAGAAGUAGGACAAGGAGUUUUAGAUGAGACACUCUCAGAAAACUUAUAGAUGGAGGAAGGGAAGGGAUGAACCCAGCAACUCUAGAAGAAGACCCUCUUCUUCUUCUUUUUGCUCUAACCCACCAGACACCUAGUUUUGUGUCUAUUAGAUCUCCAUGCCCCA